UCCUGUGGAAAGCUGGAUAAAUGAACAAGGCCAUUUGACAAAGUGUAACCCAUACCAGCCCCAUUGUGCAAUGCCUUAAACGUUCUCAGCCUCAGCUGGCUCCACUGCCUUUUCUGCUGCGAUAACUCACAAGCCCUAUUCAGCUGGCUGAGUGGCAGGUAUAGAGUGUCCCCUCUGAGCACUGGGGAUGAGGGGUGAGCGUCCGGGCAGCAGGCAGGCCCCCAAGGCUGGCCUGAUGACACCGUAAGUCUACACCCAGGGCUGCUGGAGGGGAGGCUGCCGGAUUGACGGUGUAAAUGGCCAGCACACACAGCCUGCAGAAGCUGGCGGCGGGUGGGAGAGCGCUGGCUGAGGUGGGUCACACG
rnacentral:lncRNA from 1 species